rnacentral:rRNA from 1 species
GAUGAACGCUAGCUACAGGCUUAACACAUGCAAGUCGCGGGACCGGCGCACGGGUGAGUAACACGUAUCCAACCUUCCCUUUACUCGGGGAUAGCCUUUCGAAAGAAAGAUUAAUACCCGAUGUAAAGGAUGGGGAUGCGUUCCAUUAGGUUGUUGGUGAGGUAAAGGCACACCAAGCCUUCGAUGGAUAGGGGUGAUGAGCGGAAGGUCACCCACAUUGGAACUGAGACACGGUCCAAACUCAUACGGGAGGCAGCAGGGAGGAAUAUUGGUCAAUGGGCGUUAGCCUGAACCAGCCAAGUAGCGUGAAGGAUGAAGGCUUAUGGGUCGUAAACUUCUUUUAUAUAAGAAUAUGUAUUAUAUGAAUAAGGAUCGGCUAACUCCGUGCCAGCAGCCGCGGUAAUUC